rnacentral:rRNA from 1 species
GUGAGGAAUAUUGGACAAUGGGCGCAAGCCUGAUCCAGCCAUGCCGCGUGCAGGAAGACGCAUCUAUGGUGUGUAAACUGCUUUUGUACGGGAAGAAACACUCCCUCGUGAGGGAGCUUGGCGGUACCGUAAGAAUAAGGAACGGCUAACUCCGUGCCAGCAGCCGCGGUAAUACGGAGGAUCCAAGCGUUAUCCGGAAUCAUUGGGUUUAAAGGGUCCGUAGGCGGUUUAAUAAGUCAGUGGUGAAAGCCCAUCGCUCAACGAUGGAACGGCCAUUGAUACUGUUAGACUUGAAUUACAAGGAAGUAACUAGAAUAUGUAGUGUAGCGGUGAAAUGCUUAGAUAUUACAUGGAAUACCAAUUGCGAAGGCAGGUUACUACUUGUGGAUUGACGCUGAUGGACGAAAGCGUGGGGAGCGAACAGGAUUAGAAACCCGUGUAGUCC